ACGCUGGCGGCGUGCCUAAUACAUGCAAGUAGAACGCUGAAGAGAGGAGCUUGCUCUUCUUGGAUGAGUUGCGAACGGGUGAGUAACGCGUAGGUAACCUGCCUUGUAGCGGGGGAUAACUAUUGGAAACGAUAGCUAAUACCGCAUAACAAUGGAUGACACAUGUCAUUUAUUUGAAAGGGGCAAUUGCUCCACUACAAGAUGGACCUGCGUUGUAUUAGCUAGUAGGUGAGGUAACGGCUCACCUAGGCGACGAUACAUAGCUGACCUGAGAGGGUGAUCGGCCACACUGGGACUGAGACACGGCCCAGACUCCUACGGGAGGCAGCAGUAGGGAAUCUUCGGCAAUGGGGGCAACCCUGACCGAGCAACGCCGCGUGAGUGAAGAAGGUUUUCGGAUCGUAAAGCUCUGUUGUAAGUCAAGAACGAGUGUGAGAGUGGAAAGUUCACACUGUGACGGUAGCUUACCAGAAAGGGACGGCUAACUACGUGCCAGCAGCCGCGGUAAUACGUAGGUCCCGAGCGUUGUCCGGAUUUAUUGGGCGUAAAGCGAGCGCAGGCGGUUUGAUAAGUCUGAAGUUAAAGGCUGUGGCUCAACCAUAGUUCGCUUUGGAAACUGUCAAACUUGAGUGCAGAAGGGGAGAGUGGAAUUCCAUGUGUAGCGGUGAAAUGCGUAGAUAUAUGGAGGAACACCGGUGGCGAAAGCGGCUCUCUGGUCUGUAACUGACGCUGAGGCUCGAAAGCGUGGGGAGCGAACAGGAUUAGAUACCCUGGUAGUCCACGCCGUAAACGAUGAGUGCUAGGUGUUGGAUCCUUUCCGUGAUUCAGUGCCGCAGCUAACGCAUUAAGCACUCCGCCUGGGGAGUACGACCGCAAGGUUGAAACUCAAAGGAAUUGACGGGGGCCCGCAC
rnacentral:rRNA from 1 species